GUAUUGGUGGUUCAGUAUUAAAAUUCUUGCCUUCCAUGCAGAAGAUCCUGGUUCGAUUCCUGGCCAGUGCA
rnacentral:tRNA from 1 species